rnacentral:lncRNA from 1 species
GGGAAACUGAGGAGGAACAAGGAAGCACAGCCCAGCUAAUACAGAGAGGAGCUGCUUCCCUUUCCGCAGAUCCAGUCCUGAAGGGCUAAAGGGAAGGAACAGUUUCUGGAACUAACAAGAGCCAUGACUCCAACAGUGGAGCUGAGAGGAACUGUGGCCUUGGAUAAAGGAGCAUGGCCUCUGCCCUUGGCUAGGGACUGAGGAAGUCAGGAGGAAGAAAUACCCCAAUCUCUUUCUGUUCCCCUCAACAUUCUCCUAUUGGUGCCUCCCAUUGGCUGAAUCUGAAUAAAAGCUGGAAAGUAAGGGAGCUCACUGAUGCAGCCAUGGAGAUCAGCCCCACCUGAGACACGGAACGGGGUGGAAAAAAUCAUUCCUAAGUCUGAUUAGUGUGGGGUAUAUUUUCAUUUGAAAAUGAGAAUCAUGGAUGCUCAGGGGUUUGACUUGUGUGAGACUCAGUGGCAUCAUGGUUAAGAGAGCUGGCUUGGGAGUCAGUGUCUGGUUCAAAUCCCAGCUCUGUUCUUUCCUUUUCCUUCCUUUUCAUACCUUUUCCUCCUUCCUUCCUCCCUCCCUCCCUCUCUUUUUUUUCUUUCUUUCUUUCCCAGGAUGGAGUGUAGUGGCGCAAUCUCAGCUCACCACAACCUCUGCCUCUUGGCUUCAAGCGAUUCUUCCAUCUCAGCCUCCCGAGUAGCUGGGAUUAGAGGCAUGCGCUACCACCCCCAGCUAAUUUUUGUAUUUUUAGUAGAGAUGGGGUUUCACCAUGUUGGCCAGGCUGGUCUCAAACUCCUGACCUCAAGUGAUCCACACACCUCAGCCUCCCAAAGUGCUGGGAUUACAGGCAUGGGCCACUGUGACUGGCCUUCAACUUUGUCAUUUCUUACAUGUCUUAGGUCGGGUGCCUCUGGAAG